rnacentral:rRNA from 1 species
GACGAACGCUGGCGGCGUGCUUAACACAUGCCAGUCGAACGCUGAAGCUCAGCUUUUGUUGGGUGGAUGAGUGGCGAACGGGUGAGUAACACGUGAGUAACCUGCCCCCUUCUUUGGGAUAACGCCCGGAAACGGGUGCUAAUACUGGAUAUUCACUGGUCUUCGCAUGGGGGUUGGUGGAAAGGGUUUUUCUGGUGGGGGAUGGGCUCGCGGCCUAUCAGCUUGUUGGUGGGGUGAUGGCCUACCAAGGCUUUGACGGGUAGCCGGCAUGAGAGGGUGACCGGUCACAUUGGGACUGAGAUACGGCCCAGACUCCGACGGGAGGCAGCAGUGGGGAAUAUUGCACAAUGGGCGCAAGCCUGAUGCAGCGGCGCCGCGUGAGGGAUGGAGGCCUUCGGGUUGUGAACCUCUUUCGCUCAUGGUCAAGCCGCAACAAUGGUUGUGGUGAGGGUAGUGGGUAAAGAAGCGCCGGCUAACUACGUG